rnacentral:rRNA from 1 species
AGUGAACGCUGGCGGUAGGCCUAACACAUGCAAGUCGAACGGCAGCACAGUAAGAGCUUGCUCUUACGGGUGGCGAGUGGCGGACGGGUGAGGAAUACAUCGGAAUCUACUUUUUCGUGGGGGAUAACGUAGGGAAACUUACGCUAAUACCGCAUACGACCUACGGGUGAAAGCAGGGGAUCUUCGGACCUUGCGCGAUUGAAUGAGCCGAUGUCGGAUUAGCUAGUUGGCGGGGUAAAGGCCCACCAAGGCUACGAUCCGUAGCUGGUCUGAGAGGAUGAUCAGCCACACUGGAACUGAGACACGGUCCAGACUCCUACGGGAGGCAGCAGUCGGGAAUAUUGGACAAUGGGCGCAAGCCUGAUCCAGCCAUACCGCGUGGGUGAAGAAGGCCUUCGGGUUGUAAAGCCCUUUUGUUGGGAAAGAAAAGCAGCAGGUUAAUACCCCGCUGUUCUGACGGUACCCAAAGAAUAAGCACCGGCUAACUUCGUG